rnacentral:rRNA from 1 species
AUGCUCCGCCCCUCCCCGCUGCUGCCCGUGCCCGGCGCCUCCGCCUCCGCGACGGCGGCCCCGCCCGGCAGGGCCGCCAGCAUGCGGAUGUUCCACGGCGACGUGUUCCUCGGCGAGGCGGACGUCUUCCCGAUCAAGCCCGGGCCCGAGGGCGCCCUGCCCUUCCCCAGCAACGAGAUCCGCAUCAGCCACCUCUCGCCGGCCAGCGAGCGCUGCCCGCCCCUCGCCAUCCUGCAGACCAUCGCGCCCUUCUCCGUGCGCUGCAAGCUCCAGGCCAGGCCGCUCCCUCCCCACUCCAGCCUCCACCGCCUCUACCUCACCUGCUUCAACGAGUACAAGAGCGCGGUGGUGGUGGUCGGAGACGAGGAGCUGCACCUGGUGGCAAUGCCGAGCAAGGUGGAGAAGGUGCCGUGCUUCUGGUGCUGCUCUGUGCGGGCUGGGCUCUAUGCAGCGUCCGUGGGGAUGCUCAACCUCCGCUGCCUUGCUAUUGUGUUUGAUCUUGAUGAGACCCUCAUCGUUGCUAACACGAUGAGGUCCUUUGAGAGCCGGAUCGAGAUGCUUUCCCGUAGGAUGGACAUUGAGGAUGACCCUGUCAGGGUAGCGGGGAUGUCUGCAGAAAUCAAGCGGUAUAUUGAGGACAGGGAGCUUCUCAAGGAGUUCAUUGACACAGACACUGUUACAGACAAUGGCAGAAUUGUUGGCACCCAGAAGGAGGAGGUUCAGCCUAUGCCUGGUGUCCAGGAGCGUCUUGUUCGGCCUGUAAUCAGGUUGCCCGAGAGGAAUGCUAUUCUGACCCGCAUCAAUCCAGAGAUUCGCGAUACCAGUGUUUUUGUGAAGCUAAGGCCUGCCUGGGAGGAUUUGAGAAGUUACCUAACUGCCAAGGGACGCAAAAGAUUUGAGGUCUAUGUGUGUACAAUGGCUGAAAGAGAUUAUGCUCUUGAGAUAUGGAGACUUCUUGAUCCAGAAGCCAAUUUGAUCAGCUUGAAUAAUCUUUCAGAUCGUGUAGUAUGUGUAAAAGCAGGUUCCAAGAAGUCCCUGCAGCAUGUUUUUAGAGAAGGAGGAUGCCAUCCAAAGAUGGCCAUGGUGAUUGAUGAUAGGCUGCAAGUUUGGGAUGAGAAAGAUCAGCAUCGAGUUCAUGUCGUCCCUGCCUAUGCUCCAUACUAUGCCCCACAAGCCGAGAUGGCAAACGCUGUUCCAGUGCUCUGUGUUGCGAGAAAUGUUGCUUGCAAUGUUCGUGGUGGUUUCUUCAGGGAAUUUGAUGAAAAUCUACUGAAGAAAGUAUUUGAACUAUUGUACGAAAAUGAGUUACUGGAUCUUCCCUAUGCUCCAGAUGUCGGUGACUACUUAGUCUCCGAGGACCCUAAUUUUCCACCAAGCAAUAAAGAUCCUGCCCCUAUACCUGAGGGUAUGAGUGGAACUGAAGUAGAGAAGAGAUUGAAUGGGCGGGCAUAUCAGGGGGACCAAAAACAGAUAUCGUCAUCAAUCCGUCCAUCAGAUGAUGCACGAGUGGCAAUCCGGGGAACUCUAGGCAGUUCAAAUGUGCAACCCAAUGGGGGCUCAAUGGCAAUUGUCCCUUCUUUGUUUGUCACGGUAUUGCAAGAAAUUGGACGACUAUGCAAUUCGAAGGUGGAGUUUAGGUCUACUGUAAGCACCAGCAAAAUUACACAAUUUUCUGUUGAGGUUCUAUUUAGUAAUGAAAAAAUUGGAAAUGGCAUUGGAAAAACAAGAGAUGAAGCUCAAGUACAAGCUGCUGAAAAAGCUCUCCAAAAUUUGCAAAGCAAUUACUUGUCAUAUGUUGCUCCUAUCGCUGGAGUUCUUAACAAAGACACAAGCAAGUCUUCUAGGAAUGGAAAUGGCUUUCUGGAAGACGAUCUGGAUUCAGAUGGUGAUACUGCCAUGCAAGAACCAUCUGGAAGUAAAUCAGAACAGAAGGAUCAUUCAAAUGUGGAUAGGUUGCCCUCUGUAUUAAGUCUUAUUAGAGAACUUUGCUUGGAGGAUCAACAUGUAGUAUUUCGAGAUCAAGUUCGGAAUCCUGGCUCAGCAACCAAUGAAGAAUACCAUUUCCAGGUUGAACUAGCGGGACAGAUUCUUGGGAAUGGUAUUGGUGUGAACAAAGAUUUCGCGAAGCUUCAGGCGGCAGAAGAGGCGCUGAGGUUCUUGAAAACAACCACUGACCCACAGAUUAAGAAGCAUUUGAGACCAAUAAGAUGCAGCAGUUGA